rnacentral:tRNA from 1 species
UGCGGGGUAGUUCAGUGGUCAGAAUAGUUGGCUCAUAACCAAAAGGCCGGUGGUUCGAAUCCACCCUCCGCAACCA